UGCGAAGGGGGCAAGCGUUGUUCGGAAUUACUGGGCGUAAAGGGCGCGUAGGCGGCUUAUCAAGUCAGGCGUGAAAUUCCCGGGCUCAACCUGGGGGCUGCGCUUGAUACUGAUUGGCUUGAAUGCGGGAGAGGAUAGUGGAAUUCCCAGUGUAGAGGUGAAAUUCGUAGAUAUUGGGAAGAACACCGGUGGCGAAGGCGGCUAUCUGGCCCGUAAUUGACGCUGAGGCGCGAAAGCGUGGGGAGCAAACAGG
rnacentral:rRNA from 1 species